rnacentral:rRNA from 1 species
GACAGAGGGUGCAAACGUUGUUCGGAAUUACUGGGCGUAAAGCGCGUGUAGGCGGUCUGCUAAGUCGAGUGUGAAAGCCCCGGGCUCAACCCGGGAAGUGCACUCGAAACUGGCAGGCUAGAGUAUCGGAGAGGUUGGUGGAAUUCUCGGUGUAGAGGUGAAAUUCGUAGAUAUCGAGAGGAACACCGGUGGCGAAGGCGGCCAACUGGACGAAUACUGACGCUGAGACUCGAAAGCGUGGGGAGCAAACAGG